AUUGAACGCUGGCGGCACGCCUUACACAUGCAAGUCGAACGGCAGCACGGGGGCAACCCUGGUGGCGAGUGGCGAACGGGUGAGUAACGCAUCGGAACGUGCCCAGUAGUGGGGGAUAACCAGUCGAAAGACUGGCUAAUACCGCAUACGACCUAAGGGUGAAAGCGGGGGACCGUAAGGCCUCGCGCUAUUGGAGCGGCCGAUGUCUGAUUAGCUAGUUGGUGAGGUAAAGGCUCACCAAGGCGACGAUCAGUAGCUGGUCUGAGAGGAUGACCAGCCACACGGGGACUGGGAAACGGCCCAGACUCCUACGGGAGGCAGCAGUGGGGAAUUUUGGACAAUGGGCGCAAGCCUGAUCCAGCCAUGCCGCGUGCGGGAAGAAGGCCUUCGGGUUGUAAACCGCUUUUGGCAGGAACGAAACAGCAUCCCCUAAUACGGGGUGUUAAUGACGGUACCUGCAGAAUAAGCACCGGCUAACUACGUGCCAGCCGCCGCGGUAA
rnacentral:rRNA from 1 species